rnacentral:rRNA from 1 species
AGUGGCGGACGGGUGAGUAACGCGUGAGAAUCUGGCUUCAGGAGGGGGACAACAGUUGGAAACGACUGCUAAUACCCCAUAUGUCUACGGAUGAAACGGUGAAUUCCGCCUGAAGAUGAGCUCGCGUCGGAUUAGCUAGUUGGUGAGGUAAAGGCUCACCAAGGCGACGAUCCGUAGCUGGUCUGAGAGGAUGAUCAGCCACACUGGGACUGAGACACGGCCCAGACUCCUACGGGAGGCAGCAGUGGGGAAUUUUCCGCAAUGGGCGAAAGCCUGACGGAGCAACGCCGCGUGCGGGAAGACGGCCUGUGGGUUGUAAACCGCUUUUCUCUGGGAAGAAUAAGUUGACGGUACCAGAGGAAUCAGCAUCGGCUAACUCCGUGCCAGCAGCCGCGGUAAUACGGAGGAUGCAAGCGUUAUCCGGAAUUAUUGGGCGUAAAGCGUCCGCAGGCGGCUUAUCAAGUCUGCUGUUAAAGGUCGGGGCUCAACUCCGGUUAGGCAGUGGGAACUGAUAGGCUAGAGUGUGGUAGGGGUAGAGGGAAUUCCCAGUGUAGCGGUGAAAUGCGUAGAUAUUGGGAAGAACACCAGUGGCGAAGGCGCUCUACUGGGCCACAACUGACGCUGAGGGACGAAAGCUAGGGGAGCGAAAGGGAUUAGAUACCCCUGUAGUCCUAGCUGUAAACGAUGGACACUAGGUGUU